CUUUACUGUAACCUGGUAUUGGGAUUUGAUUCUCGAUGCGUAGCAUAGGUGGGAGACUUUGACGCUAUCCUUCAGGGGAUAGAAGAGUCGUUAGUGAAAUACCGCCCUUUGUUAAUUAGAUUCCUAACCUCAUACCAUAAUCUGGGUGAGGAACAGUGCUAGGGGGUCAGUUUGACUGGGGCGGUCUCCUCCAAAAGAAUAACGGAGGAUUGCGAAGGUCCCUUUAAGCCGGUUGGCAAUCGGCUGUUAAGCACAUGGGUAGAAGGGGGCUUUACUGCGAGACCAACAAGUCGAGCAGUUGCGAAAGCAGGCCCAAGUGAUCCGGUAGUUGGACGUGGAACGGCUAUCGCUUAAAGGAUAAAAGGUA
rnacentral:rRNA from 1 species